rfam:Wallemia ichthyophaga EXF-994 unplaced genomic scaffold scaffold3, whole genome shotgun sequence.
GUCAGUUUGGCCGAGUGGUUAAGGCGCUUGAUUAGAAUUUCAUAAGUGAAGUUCUUCCAAAGCAUACUAUCAAGUACUCUUGUAGUGCGUAGGUUCGAAUCCUACAGCUGACG